UGCACGUAAAAAUGCAACCGCGUCUGCAUGCGACAUAUUUGACAUUGACGUGUCGUUUACCUGUCGUUCAAACAAUUUAAAUGGAUAAAAUAAUUUGUAAAACGAUGAAUUAUUUUUAUACAAUUAUUUGUAUUUUUAAAUGUGUGUUCAGCUCCAAACGUCAUACAAUGCGGUCACUGAAAAUCAGUAUAGUGCUCAAUAAAGUAUUAUUUUAUAUGGACACAGCUGUUACGGAAUAUUACUUACAGUUUUGGAAGACCAGUGCCACUCAGAUCAUUUGGUUGUAUUCUACCGUCGCUGAGUGCUGGCUCUCGUACCAAGGCGCGCACGUAGUGGCCGAGGGCGCUGUGAUCCUCUUUGCGAAGUGUGAAGCCGAGGGAACCGUUUACCUUUGUCAUCACUAUGUCAAACUCCUACAAUCACGUCACGAACCUGGGGUACAUUUGUUCGGGAAGAUUGGACAUUCUCUCAUGAAAAAUAACAAGUUGAAGUUUCAUUAUGCAGAUAGUUUAUGAAUGAGGUCGAUUUUUAUUCGUGGAGUGGAACUAAGAAAAUACUUAAGAAGCUAUGGAUGGAGCAAGUAACUAAUGCGGGGUGCAUGAAGGAUUAUUAGAGUAUAAGCCAGUCGAUAUUUAAGAAUCUGUCUCAAGAUGAAAUUGACGGUUCAUUAAAGUAUUUUGACUUGGACAACAUAUAGUGUCGUUUCGUUCGUUAUAAGUGGACGUUGCUGAACUCGUUGAUACGAUGCUUAAUUUUGUUAAUACAUUUACGUAGUAUCAGGAAUGUAUUAUUAUUGAAUUUAAAUGAGAGAAUAACGUAUGCCACAUUAUUUACAAAAACCACUAAUUAAAUACUGCGUGUGUUAUUGAUAUAUUGAUUUCAUAGAACACGCCUAUUUGAAAGUAGAUAAUUUCAAAAAACAAUUUCAAUUUGAGACAGAAUCUAGAUCAGAGUUGUUUUAUUUUUUCUUUGUUAACGUAUAAUGUCUAAUACUUGGUAGAAAUAUAUUUAACUUGUAUUUCUGCAUGCUAGUAGUAAAGUAAUCAACUACGGCGUCACUUACGAUAAUAUACUUACCACAGAUCCGUCAUCCUAUGAAGCGUGAACAGAGGGCUUUAUUAAUUGAAAGGAGACGUGAACAUGGUUCCAGCGAUAUUAAAUUUUGUAUUUUGCUCUCUAGCGUAUUAUGUAGCUACAUGAGUAAGGAUAUUUAAUAUUUAGCUUCAAAAUCUGCCAAUUUUCAUGUAAUCGGUAUAUUAUGUUUAUAUUGUAAUCUGCGAUAACAAGCGAAAUAUUAUAAUAUGAAGCAAGAUUUGGUUGUUGAAUAACAUAAGACGGAGAAUUAAUAAAUCUUCUUCAAAUUAA